UACCGUCUGUUUUUUAAAGUCGCGGGAGUGGUUGUGGUUCGUUCAAUGUGUGGUGGCGUAAAACGACGUCGUUUGUGGAGUGUUUCCUUGUUGAAGCGAAGCGAUUCGACGUCGUGUGAGAUUGUUUUGAUCUCCGGCCGCACGAUUCGUUGUAUUGUCCUUUCAUCCUAGCCGUUGCAGCGGUGCAUGUACCUUCUCACUCCUGAUGACCUCUUCCACAACACACCUCCUUUCAGUCGUCCGCAAUUCGACAAAACUCCUAAAGGCUAGAAGUAUGGUGCAUGCAUCUGCGAUUCGUUUAUGGGUGAAACGACCAUUCGUACCUAAUGAAUUUCUGGAUUCAUGAACCGCUGUACAGUCGUGGUUGUUCUUGCGGGAUUUCACUGCGGGUGGUAGGCGGAGCUCUCAGAUUGUGUUCAAUUCCAUCGGCUUUACUGGGCCUGACAAUUGGGUCUGCUACCAGUCAUCUGCGUUUUGCUGCGGGUCGUUGGCCUAAGCUUCGAUUUGGUAUGUGUGUCAAUUGUUCAACUUGCAGCGGAUUGCAAGUGUGGAUUCCCUGCGGGUGUUAAGGGUGGAUCUCGGACUUCCCUAUCCCCGUGUCUGCGAUUUGCUACGGUUUGUUGGCGUGAGCUUCGUUUUGGUACUGGUCGACAGCGUGACCUUCGAAUUGUUACGGACUGGGGUGUAGACUAUUGCUAUCUGGCAUGGUGCGGUUGAGUUAAGCUAAUUUCCAAGAAGCAGAUUAUUGCACCUGCCUGUGAUCAAAUCAACUCUUGGCUUCCCCCAGAAAGCAAGGCCAGCAUGGGUAGCGGCUGUAUUGAACAAACAAUGGCUCAUGAAUUGUCUGAUCAAUUGUUUUUCUAUAUGAUGUGAAAGGAUCCGAAUUUGGUACCCUGCUCCCUUAAUGUCAUUGAUAAAUGAGGUUUGGUAGCUGAAGUUGGUUCGAUUUGUCGUGGGAUUUUGCAGGUUUGGUAGAUUGUUCAUCUAUGUCUAGGUUCGUCAAAGCAAGGAUCGACUGAUGGAGGAAGUGCCCAAGCUCCAAAAAUUGGCUCAAAAAAAGGUUGAUUUGACUUUGUUGGGGAUUCAACUUUUUGUUCUAUUCACAGUUGGGAUUUGGGGUUGGAAUGGAGAAAGAUAGGAAGUUACAAAAGAACUUGGCGAUGGAGAAAGAUACAAAAGAACUUGGCGAUGUUGAACUACCCAAGAGCCAAUGCCCCCGGUCAGUCCCUUCUCUUCGUCAACAUGGAGCACUAAUGCACUAUGCCCUCCUCAAUUGGCUAUUCUGCGUUGGGUUGGGAUGUAUCCGCAUAUUAGGAUUUUACACCCAACCCAUUUGAAGUGAUUGCUGCUGGCUGCUGCUUUCAAUGCCGAAGACAUAACAAUCGGUACUUAUAGGGACUCUUUUUUGCAAACACCCCGCCACAACGCGCGGGUCGGACACUGGUUUAAUAUAAAGACACUCUCCUAAAUACUUGAGAGUCAAAAAUACCCUGUAAUUAACUCCAAUUUGCCUUACAUUUUAUACAUAACAUCCGUAUAUCUAUCUGACUUUGCAGGUACAAAUCCAAAUCCAUGUCAACGAGACAAUGACAUGAAUGGAUGUGAAUGAAAUAAAGUCAAAGAGAUAUGAGUAGAUCUUCAAUCGUGAACCGUUGGAUUUGAUUACGUGUUGACCAUUAGCGCUCCACCAUUGGUGUUUGGUGGUUGUAUACUUGUAUUCCACUGUACGAAAGAACAUAAACUAAAUAAGGCAUGGUGAAAACGUGCCUACCCAGGCCUCUAUGAUUGAUCCCGGGCAUGUGCUUUGGGAGGUGUACACAUUAUGACAGUUGUUAUUAUCAGAGGAGACAUAUAAAUACAACCUAAAGAUUUGUUUUGUUUUAU